rnacentral:rRNA from 1 species
GGCGGACGGGUGAGUAACACGUGGGUAACCUGCCUGUAAGACUGGGAUAACUCCGGGAAACCGGGGCUAAUACCGGAUGGUUGUUUGAACCGCAUGGUUCAAACAUAAAAGGUGGCUUCGGCUACCACUUACAGAUGGACCCGCGGCGCAUUAGCUAGUUGGUGAGGUAACGGCUCACCAAGGCAACGAUGCGUAGCCGACCUGAGAGGGUGAUCGGCCACACUGGGACUGAGACACGGCCCAGACUCCUACGGGAGGCAGCAGUAGGGAAUCUUCCGCAAUGGACGAAAGUCUGACGGAGCAACGCCGCGUGAGUGAUGAAGGUUUUCGGAUCGUAAAGCUCUGUUGUUAGGGAAGAACAAGUACCGUUCGAAUAGGGCGGUACCUUGACGGUACCUAACCAGAAAGCCACGGCUAACUACGUGCCAGCAGCCGCGGUAAUACGUAGGUGGCAAGCGUUGUCCGGAAUUAUUGGGCGUAAAGGGCUCGCAGGCGGUUUCUUAAGUCUGAUGUGAAAGCCCCCGGCUCAACCGGGGAGGGUCAUUGGAAACUGGGGAACUUGAGUGCAGAAGAGGAGAGUGGAAUUCCACGUGUAGCGGUGAAAUGCGUAGAGAUGUGGAGGAACACCAGUGGCGAAGGCGACUCUCUGGUCUGUAACUGACGCUGAGGAGCGAAAGCGUGGGGAGCGAACACGAUUAUAUACCCUGGUAGUCCACGCCGUAAACGAUGAGUGCUAAGUGUUAGGGGGUUUCCGCCCCUUAGUGCUGCAGCUAACGCAUUAAGCACUCUCGCCCGGGGAGUACGGUCGCACAGACUGAAACUCAAAGGAAUUGACGGGGGGCCCGCACACAGCGCGUGGAGCA